CUACUCGACUCCUACGGGAGGCAGCAGUGGGGAAUUUUGGACAAUGGGCGCAAGCCUGAUCCAGCAAUGCCGCGUGCAGGAAGAAGGCCUUCGGGUUGUAAACUGCUUUUGUCAGGGAAGAAAUCUUCUGGGUUAAUACCUCGGGAGGAUGACGGUACCUGAAGAAUAAGCACCGGCUAACUACGUGCCAGCAGCCGCGGUAAUACGGAGGGUGCGAGCGUUAAUCGGAAUUACUGGGCGUAAAGCGCAUGCAGGUGGUUUGUUAAGUCAGAUGUGAAAGCCCGGGGCUCAACCUCGGAAUUGCAUUUGAAACUGGCAGACUAGAGUACUGUAGAGGGGGGUAGAAUUUCAGGUGUAGCGGUGAAAUGCGUAGAGAUCUGAAGGAAUACCGGUGGCGAAGGCGGCCCCCUGGACAGAUACUGACACUCAGAUGCGAAAGCGUGGGGAGCAAACAGGAUUAGAUACCCUGGUAG
rnacentral:rRNA from 1 species